AGGACGAACGCUGGCGGCGUGCUUAACACAUGCAAGUCGAGCGGAAAGGCCCUUCGGGGUACUCGAGCGGCGAACGGGUGAGUAACACGUGAGUAAUCUGCCCCUAGCUCUGGGAUAGCUCCGGGAAACCGGGAUUAAUACCAGAUACGACCACUUUAGACAUCUUCUGUGGUGGAAAGAACUUCGGCUAGGGAUGAACUCGCGGCCUAUCAGCUUGUUGGUGAGGUAACGGCUCACCAAGGCGACGACGGGUAGCCGGCCUGAGAGGGCGACCGGCCACACUGGGACUGAGACACGGUCCAGACUCCUACGGGAGGCAGCAGUGGGGAAUAUUGCGCAAUGGGCGAAAGCCUGACGCAGCGACGCCGCGUGGGGGAUGAAGGCCUUCGGUUGUAAACCCCUUUCAGCAGGGACGAAGCGAAAGUGACGGUACCUGCAGAAGAAGCGCCGGCUAACUACGUGCCAGCAGCCGC
rnacentral:rRNA from 1 species